GGCGAUUUCGAAAACGCAUUAUUAGAAAAUUUGCAUCAGUACACAGUUCUAGGGCUAAAUUGUGAGCAAACACAAAGUUUGCAAAGUAUUUUGGGGCACAAAGAUUGAAUGGUCAUCACGGUCAUGCUGCCAACGGGCUAUGGAAAGAGGUUACUUUACAGAUCCGGCUACCUGUUGUUGUCAGGGUCACAUGGUCAGAAGUCUGUAACUUUUAAGGAAGUUCAGCGGAUAAUUCAGUAAACAAAUCUCCUAUUGACUUUUGAAUAAGAUUUAUGCCUGAUGUAUCUAGGGGAAUUAGAAGCUUUCAUAUAUCAUUCAGUGGCGGAUCCAGAUUUUUUCUUAUAAAAGGGGGAUCGCCGCGAUAUAUAGCCUUUUUGGGAUACGAUUGCUUUUAGCAACUGUAGACUUUUACCGUUUGACUCAGGGCUCAUUCCCUCACGUCAACCGUUUUAUUCUAAACAUUCAGCAACAACUCAGAUUCUUAUGAUUGUCUUGCUUUAAAAGGUAAAAACAAGCAAAAGGAUUGAACAUAAACAUCUUUCCUGUAAUGUUCAUCUCAUAAUCUUCAUGUUUGAUUUUUCCCUUGACUUAUAUGCGUGUUUUUAACAACACGGAAAAUCAGAAUAAGCAGUAUUUAUAUUUAGUGUUUUUAUAAUUAGAACACGUCAGAGGGAAUUCCCCAGUUUGAUAAAUGCGAGAGUUCUUUGAAUUCCGAUAAUUCUAUUUCUGUCAUAUAAGAACUGAAGUCGGGAGUUUUCUAUAUUUUACCGUUAUGAAACUGAUACUGUACUCUAAUAAAGAAAUUGAGACUCAUUUAUCAUAUCAUAAAUUAAAUAAACGUUCUUGUUCCAAAUCGCAAGUCGCGGGUUUGUUUAUAUAUUAAUGCGCAUGUCAUUGUCAGUGUUGGUCAGGUCACAUUACAGCAAGCUUUUAAUAUUUUUUUCCCUAAAUUAUUCCUAUUUUUGUAAAAAUGGUUAAUCUAAUAUAUUCAAAUUUCAGAAAAAUAUUUUUUAGAAAUAAAAAGUAAUUAGCAAUUUCAUCUGGUCCUGUCAUUGUCGAGGUUGGUCCUGUCAGUCAGCGAUGGUCAUGUCACGUUUAAACUUUCUAUAUUGUUUAUAAUAUUAUUUUUCAAAAUAUGACAUAUUAUUUUAUAUUUCAAAUCUGAGAGAAUUCCUUUGAAAAAUAAAAAAAGUUAUUUGCAUUUUACUUUGGUCCUGUUAUUGUCGAUGUUGGUCAUGUCAUUAUCAGAGUUGGUCAUGUCACGUUUUCUAAAGUUUCUUACAAUUUUUAAUUUUUUUUCUUAAAUCUAUUUAUUAAAUGAUGAAAUCUUAUUAUAUAUCAAAUUUCAGAAAAAUAUUUUGAGAAAUAAAAGAGAAAUUAGCAAUUUCAUCUGGUCCAGUCAUUGUCAAGGUUGGUCCCGUCAAUCAGCGAUGUCAUGUCACGUUUCGAAAGUUUUUUGAAAAUAAAUCUAUAUUUUUUAUAACGUUUUGGUUUCAAAAUAUGACAUACCAUUUUAUAUUUCAAAUCUGAAAUAAUCCUUUGAAAAACAAAAAAGUUAUUAGCAUUUUUAUUUGGUCCUGUCAUUCUCGAUGUUGGUCCUGUCAUUAUCAAAGUUGGUCAUGUCAAAUUUUCUAAAGUUUCUUACAAAACUUUUUAAUUUUUUUCUUAAAUCUAUUUAUAAAAUGAUGAAAUCUUAUUAUAUUUCAAAUUUGAGAUCAAUCCUUUGAGAAAUGAGAAAGUUAUUAGCAUUUUUCAUUUGGUCCUGUCAUUCGGUCCUGUCAUUCGGUCCAGUCAUUAGUGUAACCCAUAGUUUUCUUGAUUUCAAGGGGUAUCAGAUUCAGUGGUUGUUCUGGAUUCCCCGCUUAUUAAUUAAUUUGAAACUCAUUGGAUUUUUUCUAUGUCUGCCUGCUAUUGAGGGUUUAAUAUUGUUGUUGCAUAAUUUAAAAUCAUAUGCAUCAUUUAAAUUAAAAUGAAUGAAGUUUUACCUAUAACACCCCUUUAGCCGAAAUGGAGUCUUCCAUAUUAUCGUAUCGAGUUGUCUCCCUUUCAGAAGUAUUUCCCGUCAAAAUCGUCCACAAAAAAAUCAACUCGUUAGAUGUCGAUAAACGUCGUAUUAUAUUAAGAACGAUCUCAAUUUAAACAGAGGAGUGUGUACGGAAGGAUAUUGGUACAAAGUGUUGAGGUGAACACAAAGAAAAAUAUUGCUUGACUCACGGCAAAGUUUGCUAUGUAUUCUUACCAAAUUAAAAUCGUUAAAAAUUGAUAAGAUACGAAGUGAAUAGUCCGAGAUUACUGGGUACAAGUCAAAUCGGCACCUGGUCAAAUCGACACCCAUAGAAAAAGUCAAAUCGGCACUUGGUUAAAUCGGCAUCUAAUAUAUAGGACUGGGAAAUGGGGUUCCUCCUAGAAUUAACGAUGAUAAGAUACGAAGUGAAUAGUCCCGAGUUUCCUGGGUACAAGUCAAAUCGGCACCUGGUUAAAUCGGCAUCUAGUCAAAUCGGCACCUACUUAAAAUUCAAUUCGGCAUCCAAUAAUACUUAAUAUAAUAUAUGGGACUGGGACUAUUUAAGUUUGAAAUUUAAGUAUACUAGCAUAAAAGUCCCCCACGGUCCCAGCUUGUCUGGCAAAUCAGCCGUCGCCUGACAUCAGAGUAAUCUCGAACUAUGAAGUGAAAUACCUUCUCCCUCUCUCUCUCAGUGACUGCUGUGGAAAGUAAACUUGGAAUUGAUAGCACACAAAUAAAACACAAUAAGUACAUUGCUCGUACACUUGUAUCCGGGAUUAGCUAUUUUUAAAGUUGAGUGACUAUUCAGAUUUAUAUUACCUUUGCAUGAGCAGUUGAAUUAGUUUUGAAAAUAAUACUAUCCAGCUGUACCAGGCCUUGCGGUCAUAAAACUUUCGAGUCAGUUUUUUUUGUACUCAUACUCGAAAAUCAACCAAUGUAUUCUUUAUUCGAGCAUUUUUGUGCUCCAAGCACUGAGCAAAGUUUUAUGGUCAAGUUUCAAGGCCAUAGUCCAAGUCGAAGUAAGGCGUCAAGAAAAAAAAAUAAAGUAGCCUUUCAAGACGUCAUAAUUAUUUGGACUAUCAAGGCCAGGGCUGCAAAAAAUUGUGAGACUCACGCAUGUUCAUGCUUUUUUGCAGCAGUAUCCUUGGAUCAAUUUUUUCCUCUUUGAUCUUUUCUAUUUUGGCCAAAUCUCACGAAUUUGCUUAAUGAAAAGUUGGCAGAACUGCUAUACAUAUGUCAAUGAAAACUAUAUGGCAAUCGUAUCCCUCAGAGCAUUCUGCUCUUUGAUUGUGUUAAUGUGGCGUAAAGCAACCAACAAUCAAUCAAUCUUAAAAAGGAUAAGGGCACUGACUGACCUGAAAGGCUCCAGUCAUCAGGUCAUGCUUCACUGAUUCCCUAUAUACAACCACAAAUUUCCCAUGAAAAAGGAGGGCAGGGGGAUACACCCAUGUCAUUCAUAAAAGAAAAAAUGUAGCCCUUUAUUUUUCAACAAUUAAAACAUAUGAUAGGAUCUUGUCUAUUUUUACUCUAGUUUUGAUCCAUUUAUCAAAAAAUAAUUAUUAUAAAAUUAUAUCAAUCAGAAAGGUAGAUUGAUUAACAAAUAUGAUUUUAUGCUAAAUGGUGUAAAACUAGAGUGUGUUAAUACAUAUAAAUAUUUGGGUAUAUAUUUUUGUGCAUCUGGCUCCUUUACAGUAGCCCAGGAUGAAUUGUAUAAAAAGGCACUAAAAGCCUAUUUUAAGUUAUAUAAAGAUUUUUUUAUCCUUGCAUCCUUCAGUCAAAACAUGAAUGUUUUUGAUCAUACCAUCAAACCAAUCUUACUAUACAGCUGUGAGAUAUGGGGUGCCUUCAAUCCUAUGUCGUCUAAAUAUAGAAAUGGAAUUUUUUCAUUUGACCAUAUUUAUUCUAUAUUACCUGCUGAAAAACUUCAUACUAAAUUCUGUAAAUUUAUACUUGGAGCUCCAAAAAAAAAGCACCAAUUUUGCUGUAUUGACUGAGUUGGUAAGACUACCAAUAUAUUUUAACAUGAUUAAAGCAAUGACUAAAUACUAUUACAGACUAGAAAAGUCAGACACUAACUUUCCAUUGUUAUAUAAUGCAUUUAUAGAAUCAAAGAAAUUGUAUGAGUCAAAGAAACCAUCGUGGUAUAUGUCAUCUGAAAAACUUCUUUCAUGAUUAAUAAUUAUCAAAUAUCCUCAGAACGGCUAAACCAAUUGACAACAGAAAACUUAGAAUUGCCAUGGUUAAAAGAUUUGGAAAAAAUCUCAAAACUCACUCAGAAGGAAAACUUGCACAUAUGUUACCUUUAAAGCAAAAUUUUGGUUGUGAAAAAUACUCUAAUAUUGUUAAAAAAAUUGAAGAUAGACGGAGUCUAACAAGAUUUCGCAUAUCUGCUCACCAUUUACUUAUAGAAGAGAGGUAAAUAUAGUAAUACUCCCCGACACAAUAGAAUAUGUAAGAGAUGUUGUAGUAAUGAGGUCGAAGAUGAAACACAUUUUCUUUUAACUGUGAUAGUUUAAUCAAUCAAAAGGAAAGACAUGAUAACAAGAUAAAUAAUUGCUGCAAGAAUUUUCAAAAUCUUGACCCUAACCAAAAACUGAUAUGGUUAAUGAAUAAUGAAGAUGAGAAUUUAUUAUCAGAAUUAUGCAUGUUCAGUAGAAAUAUGAAGUUUUAAUGGGAUUUAUCUCCCUACUACUUGUAAUUUGAACUUUAUUUUUCCCAUAGUGAGUUCUAGAGCACCGUCCCUUGCAUGAAUAUUGUCCAGUAGCAAUGUCAACCCUUGCUGCUGUGCAUUAGUCAUGAGGAGAAUCACUAUUGGAGUAAUCUCAUGUAUCUGUAGCUAGUUCUGAAGGAUCUCCCCUUGAUGACCUUUGCAUUGUUUGUGAUGUAAAAGCCCUCACUACUGUGCACUGGUCAUGAGGAGAACUACUAUACUGCAGUUUGAGAUACUAUAUUCCGGUUCUAUUUUUACUAUUUUUUAGUUCCAUAUUUUUAAAAUAAACUUAAUAUCAUAUAUCCUUUUAAUAUUAAAUCGGCCUCGUUACAACUCAAUGUCUCUUACCAUAAUUAUAUCCUACAUUGCUCAUAUUAUCAAUUUAUUAGGGCCCGCCAAGGCGGGUCGCCCUAUAGUAUCAGUCUGUCCGUCCGUCUUCCGUCCGUCCGUCGCCGUCCGUAACUUUGUGUCCGCUCAUAUCUAAGAGAACCAUUAUGAUUAUACUUUAUACUUUACAUGUUUUAACCACCACCAAAGGGCGUGUCAUGAUGUAUGUACAACUUCCUAGGUCAAAGGUCAAGUAAAAAAAUUUGGUUUCAGUUGACAACCCUGUGUCCUGUGGUUGAAAUCGUGCCGCUCUAUAUCUUGAGAACCGUUAUGAUUUCAAAUUAUACUUGACAUGUAUAUGAACGAACACCAGAGGGUGUAUCAUAAUUUAUAAACGACUGCCUAGGGCAAAGUUCAAGGUCAAAAACUUUGGUUUCAGUUACAACCCCAUGUCCUGGCGUGAGAGCGUGUCCGCUUUAUAUCUUGAGAACCUUUGAUUUCAAAGUUUAUACUUACAUAUAUGAAACACCCAAAGGGGUGUCAUAAUUAUGACGACUGCCUAGGGCAAAGUUCAAGGUCAAAAACUUUGGUUUCAGUUGACAACCCUGUGUCCUUGGUGAAGAUCGGUCCGCUCUAUAUCUGAGAACCUUAGAUUUCAAAGUUUAUACUUACAUGUUUUAAACCAACACCAAAGGUGUGUCAUAAUUAUUACAACUUCCUAGUCAAAGGUCAGGUCAAAAAUUGAUUCCAGUGACAAACCCAGUCCUAUGGUAAAAGAUACAAUUUUUUAAUGCACAUUAUUUACAGCGGGGCCCACAGAGAUGGCUCCCAUGUCAAUGAUAUCUAGUUAUUUGUGUAUUACUUAUUGUGUAUUUCACUAAUGUUUAUAUAAUCAUUGUAUUAUGAUGUUUUUGUAUCUUGUCUGACAAGGGCCCAUGAUUGGUAAAAUAAAAUAAUGUCUAAUAAUGUCUAAUGUCUAAUGUACUGGACUACAUUAUUGUCGAGCCCUCGACUUUAGUCAAAAAAGCGAGACUACAUUCAGUUGUGGCUGUGUUUUUUGGCGGCAGAGGCGUCCACAAAUAUUCACUCUGUGGUUAAAGUUUUGAAAUUUUAUUAACUUUCUUAAGCUAUAAUGGAUUUCUACCAAACUUGGAUAGAAGCUUGUUGAUCAUAAGAUAGUAUCCAGAAGUAAAUUUGGUAAAAAUAUAGUCCAUUUUUCCAUAUUUUACUUUUAAAUGGACUAAGUAUUUCUUCCAGUUAACAUUACAUACAUGUACAGUCAUGACAGUCUUUAGUUAAAGUUUUUUAAAACAUUUAUAAGAUUCAUUAACUAUCCUUCAUUUUUACCAAACUUGGACAGAAGCUUCUUACAAUCAAAAGAUUUUAUCAAGAGGAAUAUUUUUAUUGAUUUUUUCCCUCAUUCUUGGUGAGUCUGCAAUUUAUAGCAAAAGUAGGCGAGACACUGGGUUCCAUAAAACCCUUACAAACUUUUUUGUACUGAAGCCUCUCCUCAUAAGGGGCGUUCCCUGAUGACUUAUAUUUAUUCACUGAAUUUAUCCCUGAUCGAACUAGCUAUACUACAUGUAUAGGGGAUCUAGAGCUAUUCAUUAGGGGCCUGCUGACUGAACUAUUGGGGUUGGGGCUCAAGUCAUGCUUCAGUGAUUCCCUACAUAAUCAACCAAAUUUUUCUCAUUAAAAAGGGGGGCAGCCUAUGUGGUACAGACACUAGGACAAAUGCUACAUUUGUAGUUUGUGGUACAUUAGUAUCUUUGGUUGAAGUCCAAGUUUCCAAAUUCCAGUCUGUACCUACAUAAAUGAUUAAGUUGCCAUUCAAAGGUAGAUUCUCUUAAAAUUUAAAUGUAGAGUAAGGUUGACAUUUUAUAAUUUUAGGAAGGAAACAAGAUGUUUCAGCCAUGCAGCCAGUUGAGCCUUGGUCGUUUCCACCAUGUACCACCUC
rnacentral:lncRNA from 1 species